rnacentral:rRNA from 1 species
GACGAACGCUGGCGGCGUGCUUAACACAUGCAAGUCGAACGGAAAGGCCCUGCUUUUGUGGGGUGCUCGAGUGGCGAACGGGUGAGUAACACGUGAGUAACCUGCCCUUGACUUUGGGAUAACUUCAGGAAACUGGGGCUAAUACCGGAUAGGAGCUCCUGCUGCAUGGUGGGGGUUGGAAAGUUUCGGCGGUUGGGGAUGGACUCGCGGCUUAUCAGCUUGUUGGUGGGGUAGUGGCUUACCAAGGCUUUGACGGGUAGCCGGCCUGGGAGGGUGACCGGCCACAUCAGGAUUGAGAUGAGGCCCAGCCUCGAAUGGUACGCGAGGGUGGGGAGGGUUACAUUGUAGGAGGGGCGCAAGUCUGACCCCGCCGCGCGGGGGGUGUCAGCCAGGGGUUAGGAUUGUAAAGCUGUCUUAGACGAGAUGUGAAUGACAGUAAUGGGUGAAUAAGCACCGGCUAACUCCGUG